GUGGCCGUAGCUCAGUUGGUAGAGCGCUGGAUUGUGGCUCCAGCUGUCGCGGGUUCAAUCCCCGUCGGUCACCCCA
rnacentral:tRNA from 1 species